CUGUUUCAGUAUAUCUGUCAUGUAGUCUAUCAGAUGUAAGCCAAAAACAUUCUUGGUGUUGAUUUUGUUCUCAGAGGACAGCUUGAUGCAGGCGGAGUAAUGCUCCGAGAUCUGCGCGUUCGUCCAUCCCGACAGGGCCGGCAGCGACGCGUCCGCCUGCCUGGGCGCCGCAGAGCAGAGACUGAGCGGUGACUCGGUGCCGCCGAGCUGCAGGUCCACCACCCGCGAGCGCCGGCGCUGCCGCCUUUCCCUCUCAUCGUCGUUACCGGGACACUCGACCAGCGUGGGGGUGGCCGAGCCGCUGAGAGAACGCGACGCCGGAGAGUCGACCGCCCCUCCACCACCCCGGCCGCCCCUCCGCGGAGUCACG
rnacentral:lncRNA from 1 species